UGUGCCGCGGCCGUUCGUUACGUAGGAGCGCGGGUGCUGUGGUGGUUUGCUGCACCUAUUAACCCAUCCUGUUUUGCCUGGCAUUCUGCAGAAGCAUUGCUGUAUCUUACCAGACAGGAAUACAGGCAAUGCUGUGAAGCGUCAGAGGGAAUUCCGUUGGUUACUUUCCCAUACGGUCUUGUUCAGCUGCUUGUUCUCAGAAAAGUGUGUUUGUUGGUGGAGGAGAAUGCGACCAAGGAGACCAUCCUUUUCAUGAAGGCACAAACGUGAAUACAUAUGUGACUUUUAAGCCUUUAAAUAAAAACCCAA
rnacentral:lncRNA from 10 species